UUUAAGUCCAAAUGGAAUUUCCCUGACAUUUACAGUAAUUUCUUCAACUCUAUCAACAUAAAAAUCAUUUUAUUUUAUUUCUUUAUUUAGGUAUUAGAAAAUAAAACCCAAAUCAAGGAACAAAGAAAAAUCAGAGUGACAGUUUGAAUUUAACAAACAACAAUUUUAUGGAAAAUCAAAAAAAUGGAAAACCAAAAAUUCUUUUAGAACUCAUGAGAGCAACCAAUAUGCAUAAUAAUUGCUAUUCAUUUCGUGUGCUCCUGAGGCAAAAUCCAAAACGAUUAAAAUCAAUGCAUGGAUACACGAUUGAACUUCAAAGGCAGCGCGAAUCGAUCAUGCAAUUUAGCUGCUGUCCUUCUUUCAACCAUAUUUGUCAGUUGAUUUGACCCUGAAUUAAAAAGAGAGUUUGUUAUUUUUUUUUUCUAAUUUUAUUUCAAUUUCAAGUGGAUAGUGUUGAAGAAUAAUGACAUGUGGACAGAAUUGACAACAACAACAACAAAAAAUUACCACCAGUGAGAGAAAAUAUAUAUAGUUUUUUUGUAUUUUAAUUGAAUUUAAAUCAAAUUGAAAUAAGAACAAGUUAGUUGGUUGGUUGCUUGUUGGUACCC